rnacentral:rRNA from 1 species
CAGUAGCCGCGGUAAAACGAAGGGUGCAAGCGUUAAUCGGAAUUACUGGGCGUAAAGCGUGCGCAGGCGGUUUGUUAAGACAGAUGUGAAAUCCCAGGGCUCAACCUGGGAACUGCAUUUGUGACUGGCAAGCUAGAGUGUGGCAGAGGGGGGUGGAAUUCCGCGUGUAGCAGUGAAAUGCGUAGAUAUGCGGAGGAACACCGAUGGCGAGGGCAGCCCCCUGGGCCAACACUGACGCUCAUGCACGAAAGCGUGGGGAGCAAACAGGAUUAGAUACCCCCGUAGUCCCUGUCUCUUAUAU